rnacentral:rRNA from 1 species
UACGUAGGGGGCAAGCGUUGUUCGGAUUCAUUGGGCGUAAAGGGCGCGUAGGUGGCGCGGAAAGUCAACGGUGAAAGCUUGGGGCUCAACCCCGAGUCGGCCGUCGAUACUUCUGGGCUUGAGCACUGUAGAGGCAGGUGGAAUUCCGGGUGUAGCGGUGGAAUGCGUAGAGAUCCGGAAGAACACCGGUGGCGAAGGCGGCCUGCUGGGCAGUAGCUGACACUGAUGCGCGACAGCGUGGGGGAGCAAACAGG